rnacentral:sRNA from 1 species
GCCGGGUGUGGUGGUGGGUGCCUGUAAUCCUUGCUACUCGGGAGGCUGAGGCAGGAGAAUCGCUUGAACCCGGGAGGCGGAGGUUGCAGUGAGCCAAGAUCGCGCCACUGUACUCCAGCCUGGGUAACAGAGCGAGACUCUGUCUCAA